GGUAGCUGGUCUGAGAGGACGACCAGCCACACUGGGACUGAGACACGGCCCAGACUCCUACGGGAGGCAGCAGUGGGGAAUCUUGCACAAUGGGGGAAACCCUGAUGCAGCGACGCCGCGUGAGCGAUGAAGCCCUUCGGGGCGUAAAGCUCUUUCGGCAGGGAAGACGAUGACGGUACCUGCAGAAGCAGCUGCGGCUAACUACGUGCCAGCAGCCGCGGUAAUACGUAGGCAGCGAGCGUUGUUCGGAGUUACUGGGCGUAAAGGGUGUGUAGGCGGUGGCUUAAGUUUGGUGUGAAAUCUCCCGGCUCAACUGGGAGGGUGCGCCGAAUACUGAGCGGCUUGAGUGCGGGAGAGGAGAGUGGAAUUCCUGGUGUAGCGGUGAAAUGCGUAGAUAUCAGGAGGAACACCGGUGGUGUAGACGGCUCUCUGGACCGCAACUGACGCUGAGACACGAAAGCGUGGGUAGCAAACAGGAUUAGAUACCCUGGUAGUCCACGCUGUAAACGAUGGAUGCUAGCCGUUGGGGAGCUUGCUCUUCAGUGGCGCAGCUAACGCUUUAAGCAUCCCGCCUGGGGAGUACGGUCGCAAGAUUAAA
rnacentral:rRNA from 1 species